rnacentral:rRNA from 1 species
GACGAACGCUGGCGGCGUGCUUAACACAUGCAAGUCGAACGGAAAGGCCCUGCUUUUGUGGGGUGCUCGAGUGGCGAACGGGUGAGUAACACGUGAGUAACCUGCCCUUGACUUUGGGAUAACUUCAGGAAACUGGGGCUAAUACCGGAUAGGAGCUCCUGCUGCAUGGUGGGGGUUGGAAAGUUUCGGCGGUUGGGGAUGGACUCGCGGCUUAUCAGCUUGUUGGUGGGGUAGUGGCUUACCAAGGCUUUGACGGGUAGCCGGCCUGAGAGGGUGACCGGCCACAUUGGGACUGAGAUACGGCCCAGACUCCUAUGGGAGGCAGCAGUGGGGAAUAUUACACAAUGGGCGGAAGCCUGAUGCAGCAACGCCGCGUGCGGGAUGACGGCCUUCGGGUUGUAAACCGCUUUCGCCUGUGACGAAGCGUGAGUGACGGUAAUGGGUAAAGAAGCACCGGCUAACUACGUGCCAGCAGCCGCAGUAA